GAGUUUGAUCAUGGCUCAGGAUGAACGCUGACAGAAUGCUUAACACAUGCAAAUCGAUGUUAAUUAAAUAAGCUUGCUUAAUUAAGAGACAUGGUGGACUGGUGAGUAACGUGUAAAGAACUUACCUCUUAGACUGGGAUAACCGUUGGAAACGACGGAUAAUACUAGAUAUUAUUAGAGUAGGGCAUCCUACAUUAAUGAAAGAGAGAUCACUAAGAGAGAGCUUUGCAUCCUAUUAGCUAGUUGGUGGGGUAAAGGCCUACCAAGGCGAUGAUAGGUAGCCGGCCCGAGAGGGUGAACGGCCACAAGGGGACUGAGAUACGGCCCUUACUCCUACGGGAGGCAGCAGUGGGGAAUAUUGGACAAUGGAGGCAACUCUGAUCCAGCAAUUCUGUGUGCACGAAGAAGGUUUUCGGAUUGUAAAGUGCUUUCAGUAGGGAA
rnacentral:rRNA from 1 species